GAAUUUUGGACAAUGGGGGCAACCCUGAUCCAGCAAUGCCGCGUGCAGGAAGAAGGCCUUAGGGUUGUAAAGCUCUUUUACCAGGGAUGAUAAUGACAGUACCUGGAGAAUAAGCUUCGGCUAACUCCGUGCCAGCAGCCGCGGUAAUACGGAGGGAGCUAGCGUUGUUCGGAAAUACUGGGCGUAAAGCGCACGUAGGCGGCACUGCAAGUCAGGGGUGAAAUCCCGGGGCUCAACCUCGGAACUGCCCUUGAAACUGCAGCGCUAGAAUCUUGGAGAGGCGAGUGGAAUUCCGAGUGUAGAGGUGAAAUUCGUAGAUAUUCGGAAGAACACCAGUGGCGAAGGCGACUCGCUGGACAAGUAUUGACGCUGAGGUGCGAAAGCGUGGGGAGCAAAC
rnacentral:rRNA from 1 species